rnacentral:rRNA from 1 species
UAGCAUAUCAAUAAGCGGAGGAAAAGAAACCAACAGGGAUUGCCCUAGUAACGGCGAGUGAAGCGGCAACAGCUCAAAUUUGAAAUCUGGCCUCCUUGGGGGCCGAGUUGUGUUUUGGAGAGGAUGUUUCGGGUACGGUCCGGGCUUAUAUUUCUUGUAACAGAAUGUCAUAGAGAGUGAGAAUCCCGUCUGGAGCUCGGACACGGCCUAUGUGAAACUCCUUCGACGAGUCGAGUUGUUUGGGAAUGCAGCUCUAAAUGGGUGGUAAAUUUCAUCUAAAGCUAAAUAUUGCCCAGAGACCGAUAGCGCACAAGUAGAGUGAUCGAAAGAUGAAAAGCACUUUGAAAAGAGAGUUAAAAAGUACGUGAAAUUGUUGAAAGGGAAGCGCUGGCAACCAGACUUGCAUGUCGGGGUUCCCCCUUGCUUUUGCCUGGGUUACUCCCCGGCGUUCAGGCCAACAUCGGUUUCGGGGGUUGGUUAAAGGCCCUAGGAAUGUACUUACCCUCCGGGGUAAACUUAUAGCCUAGGGUGUCAUGCGACCUCCCGGGACCGAGGAACGCGCUUCGGCUCGGAUGUUGGCGUAAUGGUUGUCAGCGACCCGUCUUGAAACACGGACCAAGGAGUCUAACAUCUAUGCGAGUGUUAGGGUGUCAAACCCUUACGCGGAAUGAAAGUGAACGGAGGUAGGAAGCCGUUAGGCUGCACUAUCGACCGAUCCUGAAGUUUACGGAUGGAUUUGAGUAAGAGCAUAGCUGUUGGGACCCGAAAGAUGGUGAACUAUGCCUGAAUAGGGUGAAGCCAGAGGAAACUCUGGUGGAGGCUCGCAGCGGUUCUGACGUGCAAAUCGAUCGUCAAAUUUGGGUAUAGGGGCGAAAGACUAAU